GACGAACGCUGGCGGCGUGCUUAACACAUGCAAGUCGAACGGAAAGGCCCUGCUUUUGUGGGGUGCUCGAGUGGCGAACGGGUGAGUAACACGUGAGUAACCUGCCCUUGACUUUGGGAUAACUUCAGGAAACUGGGGCUAAUACCGGAUAGGAGCUCCUGCUGCAUGGUGGGGGUUGGAAAGUUUCGGCGGUUGGGGAUGGACUCGCGGCUUAUCAGCUUGUUGGUGGGGUAGUGGCUUACCAAGGCUUUGACGGGUAGCCGGCCUGAGAGGGUGACCGGCCACAGUGGGACUGAGAUACGGCCCAGACUCCUACGGGAGGCAGCAGUGGGGAAUAUUGCACAAUGGGCGGAAGCCUGAUGCAGCAACGCCGCGUGCGGGAUGACGGCCUUCGGGUUGUAAACCGCUUUCGCCUGUGACGAAACGUGAGUGACGGUAAUGGGUAAAGAAGCACCAGCUAACUACGUG
rnacentral:rRNA from 1 species